rnacentral:rRNA from 1 species
GUAUCAAAUCAGGUAGGACU